UUUUUGUUUCUUGGUAUGCUACUCAUCCCAUCGGUUUCUUGAUUCGUUUUCAGGUGUGGCUCUGAAGUGGCACUUCAUCGAACAGGAUGAAUGCAUUGGCCGCCACCAGCAGGAGCUUCAAGCAGGCAGCUGAGCUGCUGCGUCUGGACUCCAAGCUGGAGAAGAGCUUGCUCAUAGCAUUCAGAGAGAUCAAGGUUGUGGAGUUGGAUUUUCUGUAUCCAAUCAAAGGGAUACUUGGGUGAUGGGAGACUGGUUACAGAAUAACCUCGGCUGCAGCUACACCUGACCAAGCUGCUUUUAUCUUGAGCAUACCAAAAAGGAAACCAAUGGAGGGGACUCUAGCAACCAUGGAAAGGCGAGCCUUAUGUUGAUUGUUGAUUGCUGUAUCGAAGCACCCAAGUCAUGAAGACCCUUGAGUUACCAGUGGAGCCAGAAGAGCUGCGAGAUGAAACAAAUCUCCAUUGAUAGGAUUGGAGUGCAAGUGGCUGGCAUUGGCCUCUUGCAAUAUCCUACACCGAUUGAAGGAUCAUAUGCAAUGUUGUAUCAUAUGUGGACCUUGUCGA